rnacentral:rRNA from 1 species
AGUGAACGCUGGCGGUAUGCCUAACACAUGCAAGUCGAACGGCAGCACAGUAAGAGCUUGCUCUUACGGGUGGCGAGUGGCGGACGGGUGAGGAAUACAUCGGAAUCUACUUUUUCGUGGGGGAUAACGUAGGGAAACUUACGCUAAUACCGCAUACGACCUACGGGUGAAAGCAGGGGAUCUUCGGCCCUUGCGCGAUUGAAUGAGCCGAUGUCGGAUUAGCUAGUUGGCGGGGUAAAGGCCCACCAAGGCGACGAUCCGUAGCUGGUCUGAGAGGAUGAUCAGCCACACUGGAACUGAGACACGGUCCAGACUCCUACGGGAGGCAGCAGUGGGGAAUAUUGGACAAUGGGCGCAAGCCUGAUCCAGCCAUACCGCGUGGGUGAAGAAGGCCUUCGGGUUGUAAAGCCCUUUUGUUGGGAAAGAAAAGCAGCAGGUUAAUACCCCGCGGGGCUGACGGUACCCAAAGAAUAAGCACCGGCUAACUUCGUG